AACCGUUAUAACCGGCGAUACCCGAAUGGGGAAACCCAGUGUGACUCGUCACACUAUCAUUAACUGAAUCCAUAGGUUAAUGAGGCGAACCGGGGGAACUGAAACAUCUAAGUACCCCGAGGAAAAGAAAUCAACCGAGAUUCCCCCAGUAGCGGCGAGCGAACGGGGAGGAGCCCAGAGCCUGAAUCAGCAUGUGUGUUAGUGGAAGCGUCUGGAAAGGCGCGCGAUACAGGGUGACAGCCCCGUACACAAAAGCGCAUGUGCUGUGAGCUCGAUGAGUAGGGCGGGACACGUGGUAUCCUGUCUGAAUAUGGGGGGACCAUCCUCCAAGGCUAAAUACUCCUGACUGACCGAUAGUGAACCAGUACCGUGAGGGAAAGGCGAAAAGAACCCCGGCGAGGGGAGUGAAAAAGAACCUGAAACCGU
rnacentral:rRNA from 2 species